rnacentral:lncRNA from 1 species
AAACAGCUCUUGACCCCAUCAUGAAAACAUACCCAAAUGUGUUUUUUUGAUCAUCUAAAUCUCCUGCAUAAUCACUAUCUGUAAAGCCAAAUAGAUCUGACUUUUCUCCAGUCUUGAAGGGCAACCUAAACUCCUUAGUACCUUGCAAAUACCAAAAAAUUCUUUUUGCAGCCAAGAGAUGAAUCUCUAUAGGACAUUCCAUGUACUUGCUAAUUACACUUACAGCAUAGAUUAUAUCAGGUCUUGUUGCUGUCAAAUACAUUAAACUUCCCACUAUCUGCUUGUAAAGAGUGUGGUCGACCUUCUUUCCUCCAAUAUCUUUGUUUAGCUUCACACCAAACUCAGAUGGAGUAUAUACAGGAUUGCAAUCCUUCAUCUGAAACCUAUCCAAGAUUUCUCGCACAUACUUCUUUUGAGAAAUAAAAAUUCCUACAGAGUAUUGCACCACUUCAAUGCCAAGAAAGUAAUGCAUCAUUCCAAGAUCAGACAUCUCAAAUUCAGCCAUCAUGGAUUUCUUAAAACUUUCAAACAUGGUUGUAUCAUUUCCAGUAUAGAUUAAAUCAUCUACAUAUAAGCAAACAAUGAGCAUUUUCCCUCCAUCUUUAAUCUUUAUGAAAAGUGUAUGUUCAUAAGAACAUUUUUGAAAUCCUUUCUUCAAAAAAUAAGUUUCUAUAUGAUUAUAUCAAGCCCGUGGAGCUUGUUUUAAUCCAUAUAGAGCUUUUUUUAACUUAUACACUUUAUGCUCAUUGCCAAGUUUCACAUAACCAGGAGGUUGAUCAAUAAAUACCUCUUCUUUCAAAUCUCCUUGGAAAAAUGCUGAUUUUACAUCUAAGUGGGAGAUAGGCCAUGAGUUUUGAGCUGCCAUAGUAAUCAUCAAUCAAAUCGUGUCAUGCCUUGCAACCAGAGGAAAGACUUCUUUAUAAUCGACACCAAACUCCUGCUUGUAGCCCUUAGCCACCAAGUUUGCCUUGUGCUUGUCAACCUCACAUUCUCUUUUGACUUUGUUUUGUACACCCAUUUGGAAGAUCGAUCAGCUCCCAAGUGUUAUUCUUUUCUAUGACUACAAUCUCUUAAUCCAUAGCCUUCCACCACUUCAGUUGUUUGGAAGCAUCAAUAAAGGUUACAGGAUCACAAUCUGAGAAAAGGGCAAAGUGUAUAGGUGGAUCCUCAGAAUGAUCAGUACUCAUUACCUCAUAAUCAGUCAUCCAUGCAGAUCGCUUUCUGAACCUUUUUGAUCUAGAAUAUGUAGAUACCGUAGGUGGACUUUGAGUUACUGGUACUGGUUCAUCUUGUUCAUCCACUGGUUGUUGUGAGUUUGCCAUAGGUUGGGUUUCUUCUUCUACAUAAAAAUUCGCAGGAAUUUGUUGUUAAACUCCAUCUCUAUUCCACUCCCAAAAUCUUUCUUCAUCUAAUGUAACAUCUCAACUAAUUACAAUCUUUUCUGUGGUUGGAUUAUACAACUUGUAUGCUUUGGACUGAUUGCUUACUCCGAGAAAAAUGCACUUUUUCACCAUGUUAGCUAGUUUUUUCUUCUUCUCAUCUGGUAUGUGGGCAUAAGCAAUACAUCUGAAGAUUCUGAAGGGCCCAACAGUUGGUCUUCUUCCACUCCAUGCCUCUUCUGGUGUUUUAUUCUGAACUACUAGAGCAGUGCUUCUGUUUAAAUUGUGGAUGCUCCAAUUUAUUGCUUCAGGCUAGAAACUCUUUGGAACUCGACUUCCUACCAACAAACUUCUCACCAUAUUCAUGAUUGUGCGAUUUUUUCUCUCGCACACCCCAUUUUGUUGUGGGGUAUAAGUUGUUGUUAGUUGUCAUCUAAUGCCA